AGAGUUUGAUCAUGGCUCAGAACGUACGCUGGCGGCACGCCUAACACAUGCAAGUCGAACGAAGUAGCAAUACUUAGUGGCAGACGGGUGAGUAACAUGUAGGUAUCUACCCUAUGGCCUGGAAUAACACGAGGAAACUUGUGCUAAUACCGGAUAAGUCUUUACGGAGAAAGCUUUAUGCACCAUUGGAUGAGCCUGCACUUGAUUAGUUUGUUGGUGGGGUAAUGGCCUACCAAGACUUUGAUCAAUAGCUGAUUUGAGAGGAUGAUCAGCCACAUUGGGACUGAGACACGGCCCAAACUCCUACGGGAGGCAGCAGUGGGGAAUCUUGCACAAUGGAGGAAACUCUGAUGCAGCGAUGCCGCGUGAGUGAAGAAGGCCCUUGGGUUGUAAAGCUCUUUCGUCGGGGAAGAAAAUGACUGUACCCGAAUAAGAAGGUCCGGCUAACUUCGUGCCAGCAGCCGCGGUAAUACGAAGGGACCUAGCGUAGUUCGGAAUUACUGGGCUUAAAGAGUUCGUAGGUGGUUGAAAAAGUUGGUGGUGAAAUCCCAGAGCUUAACUCUGGAACUGCCAUCAAAACUUUUCAGCUAGAGUAUGAUAGAGGAAAGCAGAAUUUCUAGUGUAGAGGUGAAAUUCGUAGAUAUUAGAAAGAAUACCAAUUGCGAAGGCAGCUUUCUGGAUCAUUACUGACACUGAGGAACGAAAGCAUGGGUAGCGAAGAGGAUUAGAUACCCUCGUAGUCCAUGCCGUAAACGAUGUGUGUUAGACGUUGGAAAUUUAUUUUCAGUGUCGCAGUGAAAACGAUAAACACACCGCCUGGGGAGUACGACCG
rnacentral:rRNA from 1 species